UGCGUAGGUGGCAUGGUAAGUCGGGUGUGAAAUCCCGGGGCUCAACCCCGGAACUGCACUCGAUACUGCCGUGCUCGAGUACUGGAGAGGAGACUGGAAUUUACGGUGUAGCAGUGAAAUGCGUAGAUAUCGUAAGGAAGACCGGUGGCGAAGGCUAGUCUCUGGACAGUUACUGACACUGAGGCACGAAGGCCAGGGAGGCAAACG
rnacentral:rRNA from 1 species